UACGUAGGGGGCAAGCGUUGUCCGGAUUUAUUGGGCGUAAAGAGCGUGUAGGCGGCUAGGUAGGUCCGUUGUGAAAACUCGAGGCUCAACCUCGAGACGUCGAUGGAAACCAUCUAGCUAGAGUCCGGAAGAGGAGAAUGGAAUUCCUGGUGUAGCGGUGAAAUGCGCAGAUAUCAGGAAGAACACCCGUGGCGAAGGCGGUUCUCUGGGACGGUACUGACGCUGAGACGCGAAAGCGUGGGGAGCGAACAGG
rnacentral:rRNA from 1 species